CUUUUGUUGCCUCGGCAGAAGUUAUAGGUCUUCUUAUAGCUGCUGCCGGUGGACCAUUAAACUCUUGUUAUUUUAUGUAAUCUGAGCGUCUUAUUUUAAUAAGUCAAAACUUUCAACAACGGAUCUCUUGGUUCUGGCAUCGAUGAAGAACGCAGCGAAAUGCGAUAAGUAAUGUGAAUUGCAGAAUUCAGUGAAUCAUCGAAUCUUUGAACGCACAUUGCGCCCAUUAGUAUUCUAGUGGGCAUGCCUGUUCGAGCGUCAUUUCAACCCUUAAGCCUAGCUUAGUGUUGGGAAUCUACUUCUCUUAGGAGUUGUAGUUCCUGAAAUACAACGGCGGAUUUGUAGUAUCCUCUGAGCGUAGUAAUUUUUUUCUCGCUUUUGUUAGGUGCUAUAACUCCCAGCCGCUAAACCCCCAAUUUUUUGUGGU
rnacentral:rRNA from 1 species